GGUGGUUGGGGAGAAGAGGAGGAGGAGGAACUCUGGUGGCUGGGAAGAGGAGGAGGAGGAACUCUGGUGGUUGGGGAGAAGAAGAAAUAGAAAGAGUUUGGGGAAUGGAGGAAAGGAGAGAAAGAGGCAGAGGAGAUACUGGGACACGGCAUGCAGAAGGACACAAAGAAUCACAUCUGUCUCCACACUGUCCUCCUUCCCUCUGUGGGAGACCGAGGAGAGAGGGGGGGACAGGAAUGUGGUAAACAACUCUACUUUGUUGAUGUUUACCGGAUGUUUCUGUCACGAGUGUCAGACUGACAAGAACCACACCAAGGAGUCUGAGACGAAAGACCUGGUGGCCUUCACCAACCGACCUGAGACAGCCUGUUAGAGGUCUGUGCUGUAUCAGAAGUCUGGGCCCAUAUUCAUAAAGACUCUCAGUAGGAGUGGUCAUCUGGGAUCAGGUCCUAAAGAGUCCCAGUAGGAGUGGUGAUCUAGGAUCAGGUCCUAAAGAGUCUCAGUAGGAGUGGUCAUCUGGGAUCAGGUCCUAAAGAGUCUCAGUAGGAGUGGUCAUCUGGGAUCAGGUCCUAAAGAGUCUCAGUAGGAGUGGUGAUCUAGGAUCAGGUCAUAGUCUCAGUAGGAGUGGUGAUCUAGGAUCAGGUCAUAUAGAGUCUGAGAGUGUUGAUCUGGGAUCAGGUCCUAAAGAGUCCCAGUAGGAGUGUUGAUCUAGGAUCAGGUCAUAAAGAGAUUCAGUAGGAGUAUUGAUCUAGGAUCAGGUCAUAAAGAGUGAGAGUAGGAGUGGUGAUCAUAAUGAAUAACAUUACAUGGACCUGGGGGACCUGAUCCUAGAUCAUAAUGACCUGGGAGACCUGAUCCUAGAUCAUAAUGACCUGGGGGACCUGAUCCUAGAUCAGCUCUCCUACUGUGAAUACCAGAACCAGGUCUUACCUGUCAGAGGUCAGAGGUCUUCAUCCUCUCGGAUGUUGUGGUUUCUUCCUACUGUAGCUUUUCCCAACUUCAACUGUUUCAAUAAAUGCCGGACAACAAAAUGUAAAAUGUGUUUCACUGAAUAGCAGUUUUUUUUUAAGUGUCAUGCAAAGCAUUUUCAGGAAAGUUAUUUGUUGUUUUGCAUGGUCAAGCCCAAAUUAUGUUUUCGUUUCUGUCUUUGGGAUGUCAUGUAAAUAUUAUAAAACUAAAAUCUGCUUGGAUUUUGCGUAAAGUUAAAGUAUAUGUUGUUUGAUAAAUAAAUAAUGUUGGUAUAAUGA